rnacentral:misc_RNA from 1 species
UGGGAGGAAGCAGCUUGUUUAACGGCUUAGAAUUCUGCAUGGUCAAGAAGCGAACAGGUCUGGAAACAGAGCUUAACCAUGUCUUAUGUUGUAUGUGCACUGGGCUUUGAGAAUCUUGCAGAAAAAGUGUAUUUGAAUAUAAUAAGAAAAAGGCACAGAAAGGAUUGGCACUGGAUUUUUUGGUGGUAUUGACUAUAGAGGGG